GCGCAAGUAACUCAGUUGGUAGAGUAUGAAGGUUCAUCCCCUUCGAGGUCGUGGGUUCGAGUCCCACCUUGCGCCCCA
rnacentral:tRNA from 1 species